UACGUAGGGGGCGAGCGUUGUCCGGAAUCAUUGGGCGUAAAGCGCGUGUAGGCGGCUCGAUAAGUCCGGUGUGAAACCUUGGGGCUCAACCCCAAGCCUGCACUGGAUACUGCCGAGCUAGAGUCCGGGAGGGGCGAGCGGAAUUCCUAGUGUAGCGGUGAAAUGCGCAGAUAUUAGGAAGAACACCGGUGGCGAAGGCGGCGAGCUGGCCUGUACCUGACGCUGAGGCGCGACAGCGUGGGGAGCAAACAGG
rnacentral:rRNA from 1 species